UAUGUGAUCGUCUCUCGCAUAUCAAUAAGCGGAGGAAAAGAAACUAACAAGGAUUCCCCUAGUAACGGCGAGUGAAGCGGGAAGAGCUCAAAUUUGAAAUCUUAAAGGGUUUCCCUUUACGAAUUGUAGUUUAAAGAAGUGUUUUCUGUUGAGGUUUUGGUAAAAGUUCUUUGGAAUAGGACAUCAUAGAGGGUGAGAAUCCCGUAUUUGACCUUUACUUUCAACUUUGUGAUACACUUUCAAAGAGUCGGAUUGUUUGGGAAUGCAGUCCAAAAUGGGUGGUAAAUUUCAUCUAAAGCUAAAUAUUGGCGAGAGACCGAUAGCGAACAAGUACCGUGAGGGAAAGAUGAAAAGAACUUUGAAAAGAGAGUUAAACAGUACGUGAAAUUGUCAAAAGGGAAGCGUUUGACACCAGUGUUGUUUUUCUGAAAAUCAAUUAAAGAACUGUUUAUGCUAAGUUGUUUAGACUUUAUCAGCUAUCUGUUUAGUUUUGAGCUUUUCUUUAAUACACUUUUCAGUUAACAAGUCAACAUCAAUUUCUUUUGCUGUAAAAAAGCUUGAGGAAGGUGGCUUGAGAUUCGUCUUAAGUGUUUAUAGCCUCUUGCCUAUGCAGUCGGAGAGAUUGAGGUCUGCAGCGUAGAUCCUUCGGGGCUAAAUGCAUUUGUGCUAAGUUAUAACAUUUUAUAGACAGCUUGUUGACUAUGAUUUGUCUUGUAGCUUACUCGCUUAUGUUAUUUUACCUACGCUUAGGAUGUUGAGUAGCGACAUACGCAC
rnacentral:rRNA from 1 species